rnacentral:rRNA from 1 species
UACGUAGGAGGCAAGCGUUGUCCGGAAUUACUGGGCGUAAAGAGCGUGUAGGCGGCCCGAUAAGUCCGCUGUGAAAGUCCAGGGCUCAACCCGGGAACUGCGUCCGAUACUGGCAGGCUUGAAUUCGGGAGAGGGAUGCGGAAUUCCAGGUGUAGCGGUGAAAUGCGUAGAUAUCUGGAGGAACACCGGUGGCGAAGGCGGCAUCCUGGACCGAAAUUGACGCUGAGGCGCGAAAGCCAGGGGAGCAAACGGG